AUUGAACGCUGGCGGAAUGCUUUACACAUGCAAGUCGAACGGCAGCACGGACUUCGGUCUGGUGGCGAGUGGCGAACGGGUGAGUAAUGUAUCGGAACGUGCCCAGUCGUGGGGGAUAACGUAGUGAAAAUUACGCUAAUACCGCAUACGAUCUAUGGAUGAAAGCGGGGGAUCGCAAGACAUCGCGCGAUUGGAGCGGCCGAUAUCAGAUUAGGUAGUUGGUGGGGUAAAGGUCCAGCAAGCCAACGAUCUGUAGCUGGUCUGAGAGGACGACCAGCCACACUUGAACUGAGACACCGUCCAGACUCCUACGGGAGGCAGCAGUGGGGAAUUUUGGACAAUGGGCGAAAGCCUGAUCCAGCCAUUCCGCGUGCAGGAUGAAGGCCCUCGGGUUGUAAACUGCUUUUGUACAGAACGAAAAGGUUUCUACUAAUACUAGGAGCUCAUGACGGUACUGUAGGAAUAAGCACCGGCUAACUACGUGCCAGCCGCCGCCGUAA
rnacentral:rRNA from 1 species